rnacentral:rRNA from 1 species
GUGAGGAAUAUUGGACAAUGGGCGCAAGCCUGAUCCAGCCAUGCCGCGUGCAGGAAGACGCAUCUAUGGUGUGUAAACUGCUUUUGUACGGGAAGAAACACUCCCUCGUGAGGGAGCUUGACGGUACCGUAAGAAUAAGGAUCGGCUAACUCCGUGCCAGCAGCCGCGGUAAUACGGAGGAUCCAAGCGUUAUCCGGAAUCAUUGGGUUUAAAGGGUCCGUAGGCGGUUUAAUAAGUCAGUGGUGAAAGCCCAUCGCUCAACGAUGGAACGGCCAUUGAUACUGUUAGACUUGAAUUACAAGGAAGUAACUAGAAUAUGUAGUGUAGCGGUGAAAUGCUUAGAUAUUACAUGGAAUACCAAUUGCGAAGGCAGGUUACCAACCCAUUACUGACGCUGAGGCACGAAAGCGUGGGGAUCAAACAGGAUUAGAUACCCCAGUAGUCC